CGAUGGGUGUGUUUGUAAUGCAAUUGAUUAGAACGUUGAUUGCACUGGUGGAGGACAACCAUAAUCGCCCAGAAAGUAAAAUAUGCAACCAUCAUGGGAGGUCUUCUGUGGUAGGCAUUUUUUUAUUGUCAACUUUGAAACACCGUAGCAGACGCACGAAUAUCAAAAGUGUCAGAAUCAUUGCAAAAUAUCGUCCAAACCUUUGAAAAUUGAAUAAAAAAUUAGGAACGGUUCAAGGGUUAUGAUUUUUCAAAUAAACCUCUGAUGCAUCCCUGUUUUUUACAAUAAAUGUGACAUAUGUCAAAAACCAUGACAGACAAGUGUUGACAAAUGGACGUGUUAAACCAUAGAACACCUCCGAACUGUUAAACUCAACAUUUAAUGCUGAUAUUAAUACAAAUAUGAUAUGAAAAUAGGGUCUUUCCAUAUGAAAAAGCUAUGAUAUGAUAUGAUGAUAUUUAGACUUGCAGCAGCCGAUUAUGGCUGCCUACCAAUUUUUAUUUCAUCCCAAAAAACUUUUUUUUUGUUGAUUAUUAAUAAACAAUACACAUAUG